GAUGAACGCUGGCGGCGUGCUUAACACAUGCAAGUCGAACGGGAAACCUUUUAUUGAAGCUUCGGCAGAUUUAGCUGGUUUCUAGUGGCGGACGGGUGAGUAACGCGUGGGUAACCUGCCUUAUACAGGGGGAUAACAGUCAGAAAUGGCUGCUAAUACCGCAUAAGCGCACACAGCUGCAUGGCUCAGUGUGAAAAACUCCGGUGGUAUAAGAUGGACCCGCGUUGGAUUAGCUGGUUGGUGGGGUAACGGCCCACCAAGGCGACGAUCCAUAGCCGGCCUGAGAGGGUGAACGGCCACAUUGGGACUGAGACACGGCCCAGACUCCUACGGGAGGCAGCAGUGGGGAAUAUUGCACAAUGGGGGAAACCCUGAUGCAGCGACGCCGCGUGAAGGAAGAAGUAUCUCGGUAUGUAAACUUCUAUCAGCAGGGAAGAUAAUGACGGUACCUGACGAAGAAGCCCCGGCUAACUACGUG
rnacentral:rRNA from 1 species